CUUUAUACUAACCUUUAAGGUUUGCAACCAGAUAUUCUUUCGGUAUUUUUCUGUUUCAUUUGUUUCGUAAGUCUUGUUGUAUUGGUUUUUGAACUUUUCCCAUUCGUCCCCCAUGCCUGAAUCGCUGUCUGCGCCACAGUUGGCAAAUAGACUUGCGCAAAUCAAAGCAGCAAUGGCCAAUGUGUUCAUUUUCAAUGGUAGAGAGCCUGAGAGACUAUCCGAUUAACAGGUCGGGUUUCCAGAAUUUAUCU